UAAAAAAUAAAUAAAAAGAAAAAUAAAAAUAAAAAAUUGAAGUUAUAGUGCAAUUAAGCGUUUAAAUAGUGAAAUUUCUUUCAAGAAAAAAAAAAGUGAAAUUAAUAAAGUGUAAAUCGUGAAAAAAAUGCCAAAGUGAAAAGUGAAAUCCAACAAGUUGCCACUAAAAAUGCCGCCCUUCCCACACCUGCACUAGAACUCGCAAAAUACCUACUGCGCAUAAAGCAUCCCUACAGGGCAUCAAAAUACACACCAGUUGAUGCCUCAGCAUUUCUGCCGUUUACCAUUUUCGUUGUGAUCCUGUGCCACACACAUGUCCGUUUGUGUGUGUGUGCGAGCGUAAACAUCGACGCUGUUAAUUAACGAACGAAAUUAUGCAAUGAUGGUAUGACAGCGUACGCAAACAGAACUCAGAACGAUAACAAAAACAAAAACAGAAAGAGAAACGAAAAAUAACUAUAUACACACAAUUGGCCAGAAGGUAAAGCAAACAGCAUCGUUCUGAGCUCGAUAACAAAAAUGUGCGCUCAUUGUCUUCUCUUUAUCUCACCGCCACAUUUUUCGCUUUGGCCUACUACCAGUAAACGAGGUGAUUUAACGGUAAUGUGAAAAAGUUAUUAUUUCGAUCAAUUAAUAGCGGCUGUUGUGUCCGAGGUGCAAAAGCAAUUGUAAUAAAAAUGUUGGACAAUAAGAACAAGUUGCGCUACUCAGGGAAGAAGUGUCUGUGAAAGUGAUUUGUAUGUGCAGUGUCAUAGAGAAAUGUGAAAAAUAAGUGAAAUUGUGAAUGUGUUAAGUGCAAAAAAAAUAUCUAAAAAAGUGUCAAUGUGCAAAGUGUAGGAAAAGAGCGAAUUCUAAGAGCCAUGCUGCAGAAUAUCGGAAUUGAUUUCAUAUUAUACGGAAAAUAGAUAACUUGAGAUUCGCGCAGAGUUCGG